AUGGAUACAACCAUGUUUGAUGCAAAAAAUCCUAUGAUGGAAUGGUUGAAUGAGGAUGAGGAGCAUGCAAUCUUGGAUGGAGUUGAUGCUGCUACCGCCGUGUUUGAGAAAAUACGUUUGCUUAACUCAAGUAGGAAAGUGUCUCGUCUUGCAAGGAAGGACAAUGGCAGGAAAAGAAAGAGGGUAGAGGAAGAAGAGGAUGACUACCAUGAUAGUGAGGAUGAUGAUGAAGAAAAUGAGGACCUGGAACUGGAAAUUGAUGAUGAUGAUGAUGAUAGCCAUGAUGAUGGUGCAAGUCAAUCUGAUGGAGGAGAUUUGCCAAUGCAAGUUGAAAAGGAUUUAGCAAGCCAAGUUGGAAACGAUGUUGAGGUAACAAGUGAUGGUAGUUUGGUUAACCGUAGAUCUGAACGGGUUAGGCAAGCCAAGAAGGUCAAGGAGGUAGAUCACCAGCCUUUACAAUUGACAAGUUAA
rnacentral:rRNA from 1 species